rnacentral:rRNA from 1 species
GUUGUAUGGUUAAGUGACUAAGCGUACACGGUGGAUGCCUUGGCAGUCAGAGGCGAUGAAAGACGUAGUAACUUGCGAUAAGCCCAGAUUAGGUAGUAACAACCAUUUGAGUCUGGGAUUUCUGAAUGGGGAAACCCACGUGCAUAAGCACGUAUCCUUACCUGAAUACAUAGGGUAAG